UGCCCUGAGCUGACGGACUCCUUCGCCCUGUUUCUAGGCUCAAGAGGAGAUGGCAUGGAGGAUAGCCAAGAUGAUCGUCAACGACGUCAUGCAACAGGCCCAACCCCCAGAGGCAGCGGUCGACAAGGUGACUAAGCUAUGAUCUCCAGGAGUUUCCUGCCUGUGAAGUGAAGCGGAACCCGAAUUUCUCCCUCUCCCCAAAGCCCCUUCCUCACCCUGGCUGCCUGGCCAGGGACCCACACCCAAAUCUGCAGGUGGAUUUCCUUUCUCUUGAGACCCAACGGAAGGAAGAUUUCCCCAGCUCCUCCUUCUCCCCAAGGAUUCUCCUUCUGGACUACGGUUAGGCACGGAGGAAAAAAAAAACGGCCCUUUAGUUUUCCGAGCUGCGAUCUAGUUUUGUUUGUUUGUUGUUAUCGCAAACUUUUUUUAAAAAAGGAAAACAGAAAAAAAAAAAAGACAUUUGCGAUCAGAAAGGCUCAGGGUAUCUUCAGCGUGUCCGGGAAAGGAGCGGUUUUAAAACCCUGGAACCAUUUUUGGGGGGAAGAUCCUUUGAAAUAAUGAAUUAUUCCAUUAACUGGAUUCUCUUUCUUCGUGCAUUUUGGGGCCAGUCCGGAAAAAGAGAAGAAGUCAGAGACAAAUUAAAUUUAAAAAAAAAAAGGACCCUUCCACUUUUCUGUCUCUUCUUGACUCCGUACCUCUCGCACUUUGCAAAACGACAUUGAAAAAAAAUGCAAGGAACAAAAAAAAAAAAUAAGCAAUGAAUUUUUAAUCUGUUUCCUGUUUUCUUUGCCUUUGCAAAUAUGUCCAUUAAGGCGAAACAACUCAAACCCGGGUCAGACGUUAAUCCUGUUUUUUGCUGAAAUUGUUCCCGAUUCCGGCUUUUCUACCUUCUCCUUUAAUGCAGUUUGGGAGUCAGUUGCCUCUUCUUUUUUUUUUUUUUUUCCCCUUUCUCCAAAUAAAUCUGAAACUUCCUCCGAUCUCCAGUGCUCGCCGCGCGCGAGACAUUUUACAAGAAUUUGGAAUAUUUGAGAUAAAAU